rnacentral:rRNA from 2 species
GUAACGGCGAGUGAAGCGGCAACAGCUCAAAUUUGAAAUCUGGCCGCAAGGUCCGAGUUGUAAUUUGCAGAGGAUGCUUUUGGCGAGGUGCCUUCCGAGUUCCCUGGAACGGGACGCCAUAGAGGGUGAGAGCCCCGUACGGUAGGACCACCGAGCCUUUGUAAAGCUCCUUCGACGAGUCGAGUAGUUUGGGAAUGCUGCUCUAAAUGGGAGGUGUACGUCUUCUAAAGCUAAAUACCGGCCAGAGACCGAUAGCGCACAAGUAGAGUGAUCGAAAGAUGAAAAGCACUUUGAAAAGAGGGUUAAAAAGUACGUGAAAUUGUUGAAAGGGAAGCAUUCAUGACCAGACUUGGGCUUGGUUGAACAUCCGGCGUUCUCGCCGGUGCACUCUGCCAGUCCAGGCCAGCAUCAGUUUGCCCCGGGGGACAAAGGCGGUGGGAAUGUGGCUCUCUCCGGGGAGUGUUAUAGCCCGCCGUGUAAUGCCCUGGGGCGGACUGAGGAACGCGCUUCGGCUCGGAUGCUGGCGUAAUGGUCAUCAAUGACCCGUCUUGAAACACGGACCAAGGAGUCGUCUUCGUAUGCGAGUGUUCGGGUGUCAAACCCCUACGCGAAAUGAAAGUGAACGUAGGUGAGAGCUUCGGCGCAUCACCGACCGAUCCUGAUGUUCU